CCAGUUACAACUAGUUGAUAUAUCGCAUAACAGAGUAACAGAACUCAUUGUCAUUGCCUUUUAAAAAUAAGACUAACAAUCGCAAACAGCCUUCAGAAUGUUUUCCACGAGACUACUGGUGUCGGUGUUUUUCUUUGGCUCCAUGGUCGUGUUGGCAAGUUCCUUGUGCUUGAACCAAAACAAUGAACCGAUGAAUGAUGGGGAUACAUAUGUGAUGAACGAUGAUCCAUGCACAAGUUGCAUUUGUCAGCAGGGUACAUUGGCUUGCAUGUCCGAUAUGUGUUAUUUGAAGCCCUGCCCUCCCGGAACAAAACCCAUUAGGAUACCGACGAAAUGCUGCGAGAGGACAUGUGAGCAAACUCGGGGAUUCAAGGCGAAACUUGCCAAAAAGAUAAAUGCAAUGCAAUAAUUUGUAGUUCGGUUAUAAAUAAAACUUUUCAGCUCA